GAUGAACGCUGGCGGCGUGCCUAAUACAUGCAAGUCGAGCGAACGGACGAGAAGCUUGCUUCUCUGAUGUUAGCGGCGGACGGGUGAGUAACACGUGGAUAACCUACCUAUAAGACUGGGAUAACUUCGGGAAACCGUAGCUAAUACCGGAUAAUAUUUUGAACCGCAUGGUUCAAAAGUGAAAGACGGUCUUGCUGUCACUUAUAGAUGGAUCCGCGCUGCAUUCGCUAGUUGGUAAGGUAACGGCUUACCAAGGCAACGAUGCAUAGCCGACCUGAGAGGGUGAACGGCCACACUGGAACUGAGACACGGUCCAGACUCCUACGGGAGGCAGCAGUAGGGAAUCUUCCGCAGUGGGAGAAAGCCUGACGGAGCAACGCCGCGUGCGUGAUGAAGGUCUUCGGAUCGUAAAACUCUGUUAUUAGGGACGAACAUAUGUGUAAGUAACUGUGCACAUCUUGACGUUACCUAAUCAGAAAGCCACGGCUAACUACGUG
rnacentral:rRNA from 1 species